GCCGAAGUCAUUUUCCCAGAAAAGAGAAGUGAUUUAGAAGGGAUCUGAGGGGCAGUUCUUUUCACAUAGAGGGUGGUGAAUAACGAGCUGCCAGAGAAAGUGGUAGAGACCCUGACCUGGAGUUACACGCUGACUUCAGUUCGUUGUGGGAAUGGGAGCUGCUCUAGAGAUUUCACGACUGACCAUUAUUCAACAUACCAAGGAUGCAGCCUAAGAGGUUAGCUCACCUUCGGAGUUCUGGGAUCUCAUGGCUCUAGAGAAGGGCAGACCGAAGGUCAUUGUCCCAGCUGGAAAUCGGUGUGCAUGGGAGACAGAAGAUCUCUGGCUAUGUGCCCAGAGACCUGAGAUCAGAGCUCAGAAAAAGCAACGCAAUGGACUUUUACCAUUGUAAAUCAGUUAAGAGGAAAUCUCCACACAGACAGCACUCAAGGUCAGGAUUAAACCUGCAUCUACAGUGGACCUGCCCAGCAGAAACGGGCAUAGAAGGACAAGUUGAGAAGAUUGUUUAAUGUCAUCUCCAGUCAACAGUAAAACAAAAUAGUUGUUACUCCGGAUCUGAUGCAGCACAAAAAUUAACACAAUAAAAUAAAGAACACUAUAAUGAAAAAAACACAAUAAAUAUAAUACAUAUAUAACUUAUACGCAUAGAUUGAUUGUAUGUCC